rnacentral:rRNA from 1 species
AACGAACGCUGGCGGCAUGCCUAACACAUGCAAGUCGAACGAGACCUUCGGGUCUAUUGGCGCACGGGUGCGUAACGCGUGGGAACCUGCCCUUAGGUUCGGAAUAACUCCCCGAAAGGGGUGCUAAUACCGGAUCAUGUCCUCGGACCAAAGAUUUAUCGCCUUUGGAUGGGCCCGCGUUGGAUUAGCUGGUUGGUAGGGUAAACGCCUACCAAGGGGACGAUCCAUAGCCGGGCUGAGAGGCUGAGCAGCCACACUGUGACUGAGACGCGGCCCAGACUCCUGCGGGAUGCGGGAGUGGGGGAUGUUGGAAAGCGGGGGGUAGGCUGAUCGAGCACUGCCGGGAGAGUAAUGAAGGCCGGGGGGUAGGAAAGCUCUUUUACCCGGGAUGAUAAUGACGGUACCGGGAGAAGAAGCUCCGGCUAACUCCGUG